rnacentral:rRNA from 1 species
UCGGGAAUUUUGGGCAAUGGGCGAAAGCCUGACCCAGCAACGCCGCGUGAGGGAUGAAGUAUUUCGGUAUGCAAACCUCGAAAGAAUGGGAAGAAUAAAUGACGGUACCAUUUAUAAGCUCCGGCUAACUACGUGCCAGCAGCCGCGGUAAUACGUAGGGAGCAAGCGUUGUUCGGAUUUACUGGGCGUAAAGGGCGCGUAGGCGGCGCGGUAAGUCACUUGUGAAAUCUCUGAGCUUAACUCAGAACGGCCAAGUGAUACUGCUGUGCUAGAGUGCGGAAGAGGCCACCGGAAUGCUGGGUGUAGCGGUGAAAUGCGUAGAUAUCAAGAGGAACACCUGAGGCGAAGGCGGGUUGCUGGGCCGACACUGACGCUGAUGCGCGAAAGCCAGGGGAGCAAACG